ACGAACGCUGGCGGCGUGCUUAACACAUGCAAGUCGAACGAGGGCGCAAGCCCGAGUGGCGGACGGGUGAGUAACACGUGGGAAUCUGCCCAAUAGUGGGGGACAGCCCGGCGAAAGCCGGAUUAAUACCGCAUACGCCCUACGGGGGAAAGGCGCAAGCCGCUAUUGGAUGAGCCCGCGUAAGAUUAGCUAGUUGGUGAGGUAAAGGCCCACCAAGGCAACGAUCUUUAGCUGGUCUGAGAGGAUGGCCAGCCACAUCGGGACUGAGACACGGCCCGGACUCCUACGGGAGGCAGCAGUCGGGAAUAUUGGACAAUGGACGCAAGCCUGAUCCAGCAAUACCGCGUGUGUGAAGAAGGCCUGCGGGUUGUAAAGCACUUUCAGUGGGGAAGAUAAUGACGUUACCCACAGAAGAAGCACCGGCUAACUCCGU
rnacentral:rRNA from 1 species